CUACCUUCUGGCUCCGCACAGCUCAGCAAGAAGCCCUCACUAGAUGCCACCGCCUUCAUCUUGGACUUCCCAGCCUGUAAAGCUGGCAAAGGAAAAGCAAUGGAAAGAAAACUGGUGAAGGGCUUGUUGUGAGAAAAAGGAAAGAAGAAAAGAAUGGAAGGAGAGUACAUAAUGGAACUGGAGUGUUUCAGAAACAUUCCAGAUUGACAGAUUCUGUAACUUAGAAGACAUCAUGUACACUGUGAAGUACAGAGAAAACCUAGCUGCUGGGAGCACACCCAGAACAGGCAACUGCUGGAAAGCCCACAGCACAUUUAUUGGGAAAAGAAUCUCAGCAAACAAAAGAGAUAAGAUAGUAAAUUAUACAAAAAUUGUGCUAUAGUGGGUCAAUAGUCUGUAUAUAUAAACAGUGG
rnacentral:lncRNA from 1 species